GAGAAGGGUGCAGUAAGGGGGUCCUGGGAGGACAGGGUACAGUGUGGGGAGGCCUGGUGAGGGAGGCUGGGUGGGAGGGCAGAAGGGUGGUUUGGGGAGGGGAUCUUCCUGCCCUCAGUCCCCCUCGCCAUUGCAGGCUUCACCUCCACCAGUGGCCUCCUGUGGGACCCAAAUUCAUUUCCACUAUAGACACGGGGUCAGACUUGCUGGUAGCCCAGGUUCCUGUCUCUGGACUCCCCUCCACGGAGCCUGUAUGGGCAGGGCACUCCUGUCCCUUUCUCCCUCUUCCUUCUCUGGGGCAGCCCUGCUCUCCUCCCAGGACACAGCCCCACCCAGGGCACCCUGCAGCUGAGCUUGGUGCCGGGACCUGCUCUGGCCUGGAGGGGAUGCACAUCAAUCCCUGCAGACGGGCUGGCUCCUACAGGACAGGUUUCCCUUGGAAAGAGCUCCUAAGAGCGGGGAGCAGCCAACCGUCCCCUGGAACUAUGCCGAGGACCUUCCUGUCGAGGGGACUGAGCCUGUGAGGUCAGUAGGAGUGGAGCGUAGGCACUGGGCUGCCGUCAGGCCAGAGGGAGGAGGCGGCUCUCCCAGGCUCACUGCUCUGUUGAGUCAAAGCCAGUGCCCUUCCUGUCUCUGCAAGGCCCGUGUGUCCAACGGCAAGCGCAGAGGAGAGCAAGUGCCAGGGGGAGAGGACACCGUCUGGCCAGCCCUGUCCUCCACAGACGGCCCUAUGGUCCUGCAUGGCGCCCGCCUCCUUUCCUCUCUGACCACAAACUCACAUCUCUCUUGCUUUCCUGGCCCCUGUUGGACCCCAGGGCCGUUGUCUCCUUGCUUGGCACCGUCCAGACGAAAGCUGCUGAUAUCUUUUCCUGACAACUGAGUUAUGCCCUAAGUUCUGCCAAUACUAGCUGUGAAAUGAAGAGGAGCUCAGGACGCGCUGAGAAGACCCAUGGGAAAGGGAGAGGGACCACUUACCCCACGACAGCAGGUGGGAAGGAUCACCUGGGAAAUGCCGCGAACCAGGACCGUGUCACGCAUGGCAGACGCCACGCAAACCUCUGUGCAGUGAAUGGAGGGCCCCGUGUAUCAUUUUAAACCACUGGGAUUAUACUCCAUCUAAUUUGUUUAAAAUGAUGGGGAAUAAAACAUGUAAUCCACCUUAUAUUUCCAUCCAAUAUGGUCCGAGUUGAAAUGUUUCAGUUCUCGGAUAAGUACCUCUCUC
rnacentral:lncRNA from 1 species